UUUAAUUAUUUAUUUUCGAUAUGGAAAUACGUGUUUGGCUGGUUUAGCUCCGUUGCUGGAUCCAUAAUAAUUGACUAUCAUCGGGAGAACCGGAACUGGAAAGUGAGCUGAAUCGUGCC